CACACACACACAGAGCACAACACAGAGACGGACAACAUGGUUACUGCUCUCAUUAUCACCAUACUAUUGUAUUUCACAGGUUCUGCUGUUUGUUCUGUAAUCCAGAAUCCUCCUGAUCUCAUAAAAAUUCAAGACGAGUUUGCUGAGAUCAAAUGUGCACACACCGUACAGAACUAUAAUCGAAUACUGUGGUACAAACACAGCCAGGACACAGGAUUUACACUCAUGGGGUACCUUUUAAAUGCUUCCCCAAAGCCAGAGGCAGAAUUUGAAACCAAAAUCAAGUUGAGUGGUGAUGGGAACAAGGAUGGCUCUUUGACCAUAAACAGUCUUUCAGUGAACGACAGUGCUGUGUAUUUCUGUGCAGCUUAUUACACAGUGCUGUAGAUCAGCUCACUUAAUUACAAAAACCUUCAUCUGA